rnacentral:rRNA from 1 species
CAUAUCAAUAAGCGGAGGAAAAGAAACUAACAAGGAUUCCCCUAGUAACUGCGAGUGAAGCGGGAAAAGCUCAAAUUUAAAAUCUGGCAGUCUUUUGGCUGUCCGAGUUGUAAUCUAGAGAAGUGCUAUCCGCGCUGGACCGUGUACAAGUCUCCUGGAAUGGAGCAUCAUAGAGGGUGAGAAUCCCGUCUUUGACAUGGACUGCCAGGGCUUUGUGAUGCGCUCUCAAAGAGUCGAGUUGUUUGGGAAUGCAGCUCAAAAUGGGUGGUAAAUUCCAUCUAAAGCUAAAUAUUGGCGAGAGACCGAUAGCGAACAAGUACCGUGAGGGAAAGAUGAAAAGAACUUUGGAAAGAGAGUUAAACAGUACGUGAAAUUGCUGAAAGGGAAACGCUUGAAGUCAGUCGCGUUGUCCAGGGAUCAACCUUGCUUUUGCUUGGUGCACUUCCUGGUUUGACGGGUCAGCAUCAAUUUUGACCAUAUAUUGGAAAAAGAUUGAGGGAAUGUGGCAUCCUUGGAUGUGUUUAUAGCCCUUGGUCACAUACAAUGGUUGGGAUUGAGGAACUCAGCACGCCGCAAGGCCGGGUGUCUACACCACGUACGUGCUUAGGAUGCUGGCAAUAUGGCUUUAAUCGACCCGUCUUGAAACACGGACCAAGGAGUCUAACAUGCCUGCAAGUGUUUGGGUGGAAAACCCGAGCGCGUAAUGAAAGUGAAAGGUUGAGAUCCCUGUCGUGGGGAGCAUCGACGCCCGGACCAGACCUUUUGCGACGGUUCCGCGGUAGAGCAUGUAUGUUGGGACCCGAAAGAUGGUGAACUAUGCCUGAAUAGGGUGAAUCCAGAGGAAACUCUGGUGGAGGCUCGUAGCGAUUCUGACGUGCAAAUCGAUCGUCAAAUUUGGGUAUAGGGGCGAAAGACUAAUCGAACCAUCUAGUAGCUGG